rnacentral:rRNA from 1 species
ACGAACGCUGGCGGCGUGCUUAACCCCUGCAAGUCGAACGGAAAGACCCUGCUUUUGUGGGGUGCUCGAGUGGCGAACGGGUGAGUAACACGUGAGUAACCUGCCCUUGACUUUGGGAUAACUUCAGGAAACUGGGGCUAAUACCGGAUAGGAGCUCCUGCUGCAUGGUGGGGGUUGGAAAGUUUCGGCGGUUGGGGAUGGACUCGCGGCUUAUCAGCUUGUUGGUGGGGUAGUGGCUUACCAAGGCUUUGACGGGUAGCCGGCCUGAGAGGGUGACCGGCCACAUUGGGACUGAGAUACGGCCCAGACUCCUACGGGAGGCAGCAGUGGGGAAUAUUGCACAAUGGGCGGAAGCCUGAUGCAGCAACGCCGCGUGCGGGAUGACGGCCUUCGGGUUGUAAACCGCUUUCGCCUGUGACGAAGCGUGAGUGACGGUAAUGGGUAAAGAAGCACCGGCUAACUACGUG